AAUUUUUGAGAUAAAGGCUUAGUUUAGUUGAGUAUUCAUUCAAAUUAAACUGAACCGCAGAAAGGACAGCACAGAAAAAAAACCUCGCUAAAAUAUCAAAAAUUUCCAGCUCAUAAAUAAUUUUAAUGUUGGUAAUUUCUGCAGGACUAGGAGGGGAAAAAAAGACCAUGAAUUAACUGUAGUGUCCUGCUACUAUUUUGCACACAUAGAACCAGAAUGAAUGGAUGAGCCAAUCUGAGAUCGGUACAGUAAACAAAGUGGAGUUUUAAGUUUUUACUAUAUUAAAUUGACAGCACUAAUCCUUAAACCGAACUUGAUAUAGAUUUUUUUACAGGAAAAUAGGUCAAUGAUUGAAACUUAAAAUUCCAACUUACAGGUUUCAGGUUUGAUAAUUGGAAUGGAUGGACAUUUAUGGAAUUGGGAAACUUUUUAAUUUGAAAAUGAAGAAAAUGAAUUUAUCUGGGUUUGUCCCCAUACAUUAGGCCUUGUCUCGAUUCUGUGAUUACACAUGCAAUAGCAUCAAUCUUCAUCCCCAAACUUUUCAUAAAUCUUUAACUGAUCCUUCCAGUUACAAUUUACCAUAAUGAGAACAAAAUUCAAGAAGAAAAGU
rnacentral:misc_RNA from 1 species